UACGUAGGUGGCGAGCGUUGUCCGGAUUUACUGGGCGUAAAGGGAGCGUAGGCGGACUUUUAAGUGAGAUGUGAAAUACUCGGGCUCAACUUGAGUGCUGCAUUUCAAACUGGAAGUCUAGAGUGCAGGAGAGGAGAAUGGAAUUCCUAGUGUAGCGGUGAGAUGCGUAGAGAUUAGGAAGAACACCAGUGGCGAAGGCGAUUCUCUGGACUGUAACUGACGCUGAGGCUCGAAAGCGUGGGGAGCAAGCAGG
rnacentral:rRNA from 1 species